rnacentral:rRNA from 1 species
UACGAAGGGGGCUAGCGUUGUUCGGAAUUACUGGGCGUAAAGCGCACGUAGGCGGACUACUAAGUCAGGGGUGAAAUCCCGGGGCUCAACCCCGGAACUGCCUUUGAUACUGAUAGUCUCGAGUCCGGAAGAGGUGAGUGGAAUUCCGAGUGUAGAGGUGAAAUUCGUAGAUAUUCGGAGGAACACCAGUGGCGAAGGCGGCUCACUGGUCCGGUACUGACGCUGAGGUGCGAAAGCGUGGGGAGCAAACAGGGAUUAAGAAACC